rnacentral:misc_RNA from 1 species
GCAAACUUGGUCAUUUAGAGGAAGUAAAAGUCGUAACAAGGUUUCCGUAGGUGAACCUGCGGAAGGAUCAUUAACGUACAUCCCGACGGGGUGUGCCUCGCCCAGCUCCGGCCGGAUUUGGCCGUGCAGCGGGUGGGGGCGCACUCCGUCCAAAACUCGCAAACCCACUGUGAACCUUUGCGGCAGAGGGGGCCCCGAUCCCCGAGGCUGCGUGCCAAACUCCAGUUGCAAAAAGAACGUUGUGUGGACUUUGUGCCACCUAAAAGCGCAUGACAACUUUCAACAACGGAUCUCUUGGCUCUCGCAUCGAUGAAGAACGCAGC